rnacentral:rRNA from 1 species
CCUACGGGUGGCAGCAGUGAGGAAUAUUGGUCAAUGGACGAGAGUCUGAACCAGCCAAGUAGCGUGAAGGAUGACUGCCCUAUGGGUUGUAAACUUCUUUUAUAUGGGAAUAAAAUGUUCCACGUGUGGGAUUUUGUAUGUAUCAUAUGAAUAAGGAUCGGCUAACUCCGUGCCAGCAGCCGCGGUAAUACGGAGGAUCCGAGCGUUAUCCGGAUUUAUUGGGUUUAAAGGGAGCGUAGGUGGAUUGUUAAGUCAGUUGUGAAAGUUUGCGGCUCAACCGUAAAAUUGCAGUUGAAACUGGCAGUCUUGAGUACAGUAGAGGUGGGCGGAAUUCGUGGUGUAGCGGUGAAAUGCUUAGAUAUCACGAAGAACUCCGAUUGCGAAGGCAGUUCACUGGACUGCAACUGACACUGAGGCUCGAAAGUGUGGGUAUCAAACAGGAUUAGAUACCCUAGUAGUC